GGCCUAACACAUGCAAGUCGAGCGGCAGCGGGGGGAAGCUUGCUUCCCCGCCGGCGAGCGGCGGACGGGUGAGUAAUGUCUGGGAAACUGCCUGAUGGAGGGGGAUAACUACUGGAAACGGUAGCUAAUACCGCAUAACGUCUUCGGACCAAAGUGGGGGACCUUCGGGCCUCACGCCAUCAGAUGUGCCCAGAUGGGAUUAGCUUGUUGGUGGGGUAACGGCUCACCAAGGCGACGAUCCCUAGCUGGUCUGAGAGGAUGACCAGCCACACUGGAACUGAGACACGGUCCAGACUCCUACGGGAGGCAGCAGUGGGGAAUAUUGCACAAUGGGCGCAAGCCUGAUGCAGCCAUGCCGCGUGUAUGAAGAAGGCCUUCGGGUUGUAAAGUACUUUCAGCGGGGAGGAAGGUGUUGGGGUUAAUAACCGCAGCAAUUGACGUUACCCGCAGAAGAAGCACCGGCUAACUCCGUGCCAGCAGCCGCGGUAAUACGGAGGGUGCAAGCGUUAAUCGGAAUUACUGGGCGUAAAGCGCACGCAGGCGGUCUGUCAAGUCGGAUGUGAAAUCCCCGGGCUCAACCUGGGAACUGCAUCCGAAACUGGCAGGCUUGAGUCUUGUAGA
rnacentral:rRNA from 1 species